rnacentral:rRNA from 1 species
AUUGAACGCUGGCGGCAGGCCUAACACAUGCAAGUCGAGCGAGCGGCGGACGGGUGAGUAAUGUAUGGGGAUCUGCCUGAUGGCGGGGGAUAACUACUGGAAACGGUAGCUAAUACCGCAUACCAUCAGAUGACCCCAUAUGGGAUUAGCUUGUAGGUGAGGUAACGGCUCACCUAGGCGACGACCCCUAGCUGGUCUGAGAGGAUGAUCAGCAACACUGGUGAUGAGACACGGGCCAGACUCCGACGGGAGGCAGCAGUGGGGAAUAUUGCACAAUGGGCGCAAGCCUGAUGCAGCCAUGCCGCGUGUAUGAAGAAGGCCUUCGGGUUGUAAAGUACUUUCAGUCGGGAGGCGUUACCGACAGAAGAAGCACCGGCUAACUCCGUGCCAGCAGCCGCGGUAAUUC